UACGAAGGGUGCAAGCGUUACUCGGAAUUACUGGGCGUAAAGCGUGCGUAGGUGGUUUGUUAAGUCUGAUGUGAAAGCCCUGGGCUCAACCUGGGAACUGCAUUGGAAACUGGCUUACUAGAGUGCGGUAGAGGGGUGUGGAAUUCCCGGUGUAGCAGUGAAAUGCGUAGAUAUCGGGAGGAACAUCUGUGGCGAAGGCGGCGACCUGGGCCAAUACUGACGCUGAGGUGCGAAAGCGUGGGGAGCAAACAGG
rnacentral:rRNA from 1 species